rnacentral:rRNA from 1 species
AGAGUUUGAUCAUGGCUCAGAGUGAACGCUGGCGGCAGGCCUAACACAUGCAAGUCGAGCGGAAACGAGUUAUCUGAACCUUCGGGGAACGAUAACGGCGUCGAGCGGCGGACGGGUGAGUAAUGCCUAGGAAAUUGCCCUGAUGUGGGGGAUAACCAUUGGAAACGAUGGCUAAUACCGCAUGAUGCCUACGGGCCAAAGAGGGGGACCUUCGGGCCUCUCGCGUCAGGAUAUGCCUAGGUGGGAUUAGCUAGUUGGUGAGGUAAGGGCUCACCAAGGCGACGAUCCCUAGCUGGUCUGAGAGGAUGAUCAGCCACACUGGAACUGAGACACGGUCCAGACUCCUACGGGAGGCAGCAGUGGGGAAUAUUGCACAAUGGGCGCAAGCCUGAUGCAGCCAUGCCGCGUGUGUGAAGAAGGCCUUCGGGUUGUAAAGCACUUUCAGUCGUGAGGAAGGUAGUGUAGUUAAUAGCUGCAUUAUUUGACGUUAGCGACAGAAGAAGCACCGGCUAACUCCGUGCCAGCAGCCGCGGUAAUACGGAGGGUGCGAGCGUUAAUCGGAAUUACUGGGCGUAAAGCGCAUGCAGGUGGUUUGUUAAGUCAGAUGUGAAAGCCCGGGGCUCAACACUCGGAAUAGCAUUUGAAACUGGCAGACUAGAGUACUGUAGAGGGGGGUAGAAUUUCAGGUGUAGCGGUGAAAUGCGUAGAGAUCUGAAGGAAUACCGGGGCGAAGGCGGCCCCCUGACAGAU